CCGAGUCCUGGCACUGGCUUUAGGCCCCAACAAGAACGGCGAAAGAAGGGAUCCGCAGCAACAACGUUGCGCCGCCGCUCCGCCCGUGCGCUCCCCACCCCCGAUCCGCCCCGAGCCCACCAGGCCUCCGAACGCCGCCGUCGAGCUCCUCUGCCGGACACCAUGGCCAUGGACUAAAGCUCCGCCGGACCUUCCCUCGCGAGUGCCGGCCCUCCUCCCGACUAAAUCGGCGACGGCGACGAACGGUGAUGAACACAUGCCUACCCCCUUCUUAAUUCUCCCGGGCAGUCUGUGAUGCAGAUGCCGCCGCUGCCAUUCUUCCGCACAGCCGAGGACGCGAAAGUCGUUGUUGUCUGCAACUCAGCUGCCUCCAUCCUGUUGCCCUGCGAAGUUGAGGAGGGUUUGUUGUCCGGACAUCGCAUCCUCCUGCUUGUCCUCUACCACAGGGUCGUUGCCAUCUUCAGUCACCACGGCCACCUCUGCCAUGUCCUCUACCACGGGUUCAAUAGGGGCAUACCACCGCAUGUCCUCUUCACAUGAUAGGGAGAGCAGGGGAAAAGUCUUGUGGAUACAUAUAUGAAUGCCCGCCAGAAGAAGAGAAGGGUGUUUGGCUGCAAAUCAGUUUUAUGUCAAACUGCACAUAAAUAUGAUCAAGUACUUGUUGUCUUUUUACUGGCAGGGAGAGCAGGAGAAGGUGUUGUGGAUACAUAUAUGAAUGCCCGCCAGAAGAAGAGAAAGAUGUUUGGCUGCAAGUAAUUGUGUUCGUAGGCUGUCCAUAUCACCGGCACUAAGGGGAAAUGUUCGACUGCCACGUUCCUGUCUAAUAUCAUGAGGGAGCAAGCAUAAACUGUGGGCUGCUAUUCCAGUCCACACCUUUUAACAAUCCGAGAGCGCAUCACCUGUUUCAGCUGCAUCUUUGAGGGAUCUUUUUGAUCUGGCAAAAGGAAGCUAUUGAUGAAUCAAUCGAAUAUUUUCAAAGAUAUUUUUAGGUUGCAAGGUUGGUAUUUUGCUUUAAUAAAAUGCUGAUGAUGCGUACUCAGAUAUUUUUUUGUAUGUCCCCGAAUGGGAGCCUAUACAAUACCAAUAAACGAUAAGCAUAACAAGAAAAAUAGCAAAGGUACUAUCGAAUGGGAGCCUAAUUUCUUGUUUCAGUAUUGUCUGCAGCUUUGUUUCAGGAAGAUACAAUUCUGUAAUUUUUUUAUGUCGCAUUUGAAGGUGUCGGCAAGUAAGCGGCUCUACAUCUUGCCAAUUCCAUUUCUAAUAGGCAUGAACCCCCUGUGUUUUGGACAACUAAGGUUACAUGCAUGUGUUCAUAUCAUAAUCAUGUACCAAUUCUGAGUCAGACGCGUGCAUUUGGAUUGGAUAUUGAACCGAGCCCGCCAUUUUAUUACUCUGAAAGAACUAUACAGUGAUAUUUGGCUAUUGCUUUCAGUAUUAGAGAAGCAUAGAAACUGAACUGCAGGGCUUUCUAUAUUUUUAUGUGAAAUUCCUCUAUGACAUUGUGCCAUACUAUUUACUUUGAGCAACCUUUCUAUGCUAUUUUCUUGGACAGUUUAUACUGUAAUCUCUAGCACCUCAAUAUAUGGUAAACAAGUGCAAGCUUGGGUAUUUUUUUCCUCAUCUCGUAUUCAUUUUAUUUGCUAUGUUACUUUAGCAAUCAAAUAGAAUCAGGCACAAGCUCCAGUUAGUCCUGUGUAAAAACUGAUGUGCAGGUGUGGACCAUGGAUUCCUUAUUUUGUGCGUUUCAGACUUGGGAUCGUAGGGAGAAGUGUGAACUAUGGAGUCAUACCAGAACUCGAUUGACCAUGGCACAUCUUCAUAAACGAGUCAUGGCAUCGGCAACAAUAUUCAAGAUUUCAUGUUCCCUUCAUUUCCAAGCAUCACUCUUAAAGCAAUAUAUGCAGGUUCAUCAUUCAUGCGAGGGAUAUGAAUGACGAAACAAAAGUAAAAGGUGUUUAUGCCAACAGAUCAUCAUAAUUUGGGAGGAGUGUCAUGUCGGCUUUAUAAAGCCAGUAGCAUCCUACUAUUCGCAGUUUCUGUACUUCAAUGAAAUAAUACAAUUUUCAAAUUAUAU